GCUCUAAAAAACAUGGUAACCAUCUCAUUUGUCUUUGAUUUGAAAACUUUCUAUCUUUCUCCUGUUUUCUUUGACAUACUUAAUUUUUUUUUUCUUGUGUUAACUGCAGCUUCCUCUUUCUUUACUCAAGAUUGCUCAAGGCCACCCAAUGUUGGUGGAAUUGAAAAACAGAGACUUACAAUGGGCAUUUGGUCAAUUGUGAUGCUUGGAUGAACAUCCAUCUCCGUUUAGCUUUCAUUUUCCUUAAAUCUAAUAUCCUUGAUCUAUUUUAGAUUCCAAAAUUUGCCAUCCCUUUACACGCUUUCAUUUUAUGUUCUUGACCCUGGCUUUUCUUGCAGGUUGCUUGAUUUUUCUGUUUUGCUCUAAAAAACAUGGUAACCAUCUCAACUGUCUUUGAUUUGAAAACUUUUUAUCUUUCUGCAGUUUUCUUUGACACUCUUAAUUUUUUUUUUCUUGUGUUAAAUGCUGCUUCCUAUUUCUUUACUCAUGACUGCUCAAGGCCACCCAAUACUUGUAAUUCAUGGUGGUUCUAUGAUGUAAUAGAUGGUGGAAUUGAAAAACGGAGAAACUUACAAUGGGCAUUUGGUCAAUUGUGAUGCUUGGAUGAACAUCCAUCUCCGUUUAGCUUUAAUUUUCGCUAACCCUAAUAUCCUUGAUUUGUUUUAGAUUCCAAAAUUUGC